UCAGUAACACGUAGUCAACCUUAACCCUGUGGACGUGGAUAAUCUCGGGAAACUGAGGAUAAACCACGAUAGAUAACGGUGCCUGGAAUGGCCCAUUUGUCCAAAUAGUUUACUGCCACGGGAUGGGACUUGGGGCUAUCAGCUUGUUGGUGAGGUAAUGGCCACAAGGUAUAACAGGUACGGGCUCUGAGAGGAGAAGCCCGGAGAUGGGUACUUGAGACACCGGACCCAGGCCCUAUGGGGCGCAGCAGGCGAGAAACCUUAGCAAUGUGCGAAAGCACCGACUGGGUCAGUCCCGGAGUGAUUUCUGAUUAAAGGAGUCUUUUUGCCCGGUCCUAAAAGCACGGGCGAAUUAAAGGGGUGGGCAAGUCU
rnacentral:rRNA from 1 species